ensembl:lncRNA
UAUGAACCAUAAAGGAGUUUGUGUUAAAACAUGUUAAAUCCCAUUAAACAUAAAUGCAUUAUUAGUGUGACAGGAGGUCGUCUCCCUCCUGGCCGCUGUUGGGCGCCGUGCCAGCGGUGCGAGUACCGUAAUCGCUGGGCGGUACCAUGCGCCCUUUAUAUUCAGGUGUGCAGGGGUGGAGCUUCCUGUCCUCCGCUCCCUGCUUGCUUCCGUGGUGGCUGUGGUUUGGCAUGACGGCGUUGGUGGACGCAGCCGUUCUCUGGUGUAUCCAGCUGUUGUGAUUGCCGUCAAGGCAUGCUGUCUGAAUACCGUGGCUGAGUGCUGGGUUGAAUUCCCCGGGGUGAAGCGGGGAUCUGCUGGAGCCCUGCUGGGCAUAGGAUCACAGGCUCGCUCUGGGUGGGUGUGGGUGUGUGCGAGCCGUAUUCUUGUGGCUCACACCCUCCAGUUGCCAGUUGUUUGCGGCGGCUUGGAGCGGACUUCUCAGCCCAGCAGGGCUGAGUGCCGUCUGCGUCCACUCCGUGCAGAGGCUGGUUGUGUUGCUGCUGUGUCAGAACUUGUACAGCUGCAAGGGCUACUUCAGUUGAUGGUGUUUUGUUUUCUUUGUUAUUUGGAAAUUAAUUCAGGUGCUGUGGCUUACUGUGGCAGUUAUUUCCUGCUGGUGGUGUCUUCUUCACGGUCCCCCC